AGUGAACGCUGGCGGUAGGCCUAACACAUGCAAGUCGAACGGCAGCACGGUCAGCGCUCGCUCUUCCGGGUGGCGACUGGCGGAUGAGUGAGGAGUACAUCGCCAUCAGCUUUUUCGAGGUACACGACGUAGGAACUAUUACCGUAAUCCCGCCUACGGCGAACGGAUGGAAUCAGGGGAUCUUCGACUAUUGCGCGUUCGCAUGAGCCGCUGUCGGAUUAGUUAGUUGGCGGGGUAAAGGCCCACCAAGGCGACGAUCCGUAGCUGGUCUGAGAGGAUGAUCAGCCACACUGGAACUGAGACACGGUCCAGACUCCUACGGGAGGCAGCAGUGGGGAAUUUUGGACAAUGGGCGCAAGCCUGAUCCAGCCAUACCGCGUGGGUGAUGAAGGCCUUCGGGUUGUAAAGCCCUUUUGGUAGGAAAGAAAAGCAGCGGGUUAAUACCCCGCGGUUCUGACGGUACCCAAAGAAUAAGCACCGGCUAACUACGUG
rnacentral:rRNA from 1 species